rnacentral:rRNA from 1 species
UACGGAGGGUGCAAGCGUUGCUCGGAAUUAUUGGGCGUAAAGGGUAGGUAGGUGGUCUCAUUUGUCUGGGGUGAAAGCCUUGAGCUUAACUCAAGAAGUGCCCCAGAAACGGUGAGACUAGAGUCCUGGAGAGGGUCGUGGAAUUCCCGGUGUAGCGGUGAAAUGCGUAGAGAUCGGGAGGAACACCAGAGGCGAAGGCGGCGACCUGGACAGGCACUGACACUCAACUACGAAAGCGUGGGGAGCAAACAGG